CUUGAAGUUAUACCAGAAAGGCCUUGCGAAGUGACCCACCAAAGAGGUCUUUGUAGAAACCUACAGAUUCAAUACUAAAAGUAUCUGGAAAACUAAAACGUGAUUUCUCAAGCUAGAAAUGAAGAUCGAGGGGAAAGUACAUACGGAUUUAAACGCGGAGACGGAAGCUGUGUGGAGUUCGCGGCGGCGGAGAGCACGUAGAAGCGCGACGGAGGCCAUUUUUGGUUGGAGAGAGAGUCGGUGGAGAAAGAAGGGUUUAAGCUCGGAGAUGGGACACGCACAACGUGUAGGGUUUAACCAUUUAUAGGAAAAGCCCCGUGGGCUACAAGUCAUUUUCUGGGCCUUGUAUGGGCUUUUUGACAUCAUAGCCCAACUCUAAAUAUACGUACCUCAUAUUUAGUGAUUAUGAUUUGUUACGAUUCUAGAAUAAUUACCUUAGUUAUGACUUAUGCGGAUUGAUAAUUAAGAGUUUCAAACAUAGCAUAUGACCAUAUAUGUAUAUACAUAUGUUACUUGUAGCAUGAGAAAAUGAAAAAGCAUUUCAUAAACCCAUAUACAAAAGAUCAUCUUGUUUUGAUAUCUCUCUUCUUUCUCCAUAGUUUUGGUAUAGAGUUGUUUUCACUAUGCAUCUUCUUGAGGCUGGUCGUCUCCACCACCUUCAAUGUUGCUGGUGUUGAAUUGAACACGAGGCUUGCCCAUACUGAAAUUAAGAACUCUUGCAUCCAUGUUGUAUUGUAUCUCUCCAUCAAACAACAUCUUCCUUAUGUAAUGCUCUACGUCUGAUCCUAUCAACCUUAGUGUAUACUCUGUCAAUGGUGCUCCCUGUCCAAAAAA